rfam:Brachypodium distachyon strain Bd21 chromosome 3, whole genome shotgun sequence.
UCUAUACUUACUCCGUCCAAAAAAAGAUGUCUCAACUUUGAUUAAAUUUGAAUGCAUCUAUACACUAAGUAAUGUCUAAAUACAUCCAAUUUUUAAUAAAGUUAAGACAUCUUUUGUUGGAUGGAAGAAGUAAUAC